GACGAACGCUGGCGGCGUGCUUAACACAUGCAAGUCGAGCGGUAAGGCCCUUUCGGGGGUACACGAGCGGCGAACGGGUGAGUAACACGUGGGUGACCUGCCCUCAGCUCUGGGAUAAGCCUGGGAAACCGGGUCUAAUACUGGAUAUGACUCCAUGACGCAUGUUGUGGGGUGGAAAGCCUUGUGCGGCUGAGGAUGGGGCCCGCGGCCUAUCAGCUUGUUGGGGGGUGAUGGCCUACCAAGGCGACGACGGGUAGCCGGCCUGAGAGGGCGACCGGCCACACUGGGACUGAGACACGGCCCAGACUCCUACGGGAGGCAGCAGUGGGGAAUCUUGCGCAAUGGGCGAAAGCCUGACGCAGCGACGCCGCGUGAGGGAUGACGGCCUGGU
rnacentral:rRNA from 1 species